UUCGAUGUAGUUCAGCGUGGUGGAACGCCCGGCUCGGGUCCGGGUAGACGCCGGUUCGACCCCGGCCAUCGAAGCUA
rnacentral:tRNA from 1 species